UUUCCUCCCUCAUAAUCCCUUUGUCUCGCCAUUUCUUCCAUUUCUCUCUCCCUCUGACCCUUUCUUUCUCUCUCACUCUUUCUCUCUCCUCCCUGUUCUCUCCUAAAUGAGAGAUUAUAAGAAAGAGAGAGAGAAGUAGGGAUGGAUUUCUAUGUCAGCCCUGACCCCGAGGCCUCUGCUGGCAGAGUAGAGGGGCUAAUCAUAGCUUCCGGUGUUGCCCAGGCUGCCCAGAGAAACUCCGCCCACUCACGUGUCAUCCCUGAACUCCUGCUGGAAUAGGCACGUGUGACUAAAAGGAAGAGGAGGCCAGGCUGACUUGCUAUCUGCACUGGGUAAAAAUGUUCAACAGGAAGUGUAUGGUGUGACGCAAGCCCCACACACCGUCAUGUAAUGAGGGACAAUGGAUUUCCUGGGAAAUGGUCAGCAACCGUGAGCAGCCUCAGGGCAUCGUUGUCACGCAUCCGAGUUGGCCACCGGAGCGCUUGGAGAAUGCAGGAAGAGGAUGAACGAGAUGCAGGAGAGGGAAAAAAGAGGCCCUGGAUACUUCUGAGACACAGAGGGACCUAAGACCAGCACGAUCCUAAGCACACCACUGGGGUGGUGAAACUGCACCUAACUAUGCCCUGAGCCUCUGAGGUGCCGAGCUGUAGCACGUUCAGGUCAUGCUUUUCACUUCACUUCGCCUUCUGCUAAGCAGAGCGAAAGAGAGCCUGGAUUUUCAC